GAACAAUAAGCUAUAUACGGUGCCUUCCAGAUUUGUGUUUCUGAGUGAUACAUCAGUAGAUGAGUACAUCCAGAUGUUCCUUGAAGACAUUGUCUUACAGGUCUGCUAAGGUUGAAAACAAAGAUAAGGUUUUGCCAUUUCUUUCUAAUGCUCUUUCCAUCUGCUGUACUGCAUCUGCAUUCUCUGUGGAUUAGAAGGGAUUUUGACAUGGGAAUUUCCACACUGGAUCAGACCCACGACCCAUCUAAUCCAAUGUCCUGUUUCUGACAGUGACCGGAUGCUUCAGAGGAACAUGCAAGAAACCCCACAGU